rnacentral:rRNA from 1 species
CCUACGGGUGGCAGCAGUGGGGAAUAUUGCUCAAUGGGCGAAAGCCUGAUCCAGCCACGCCGCGUGAGUGAUGAAGGCCUUCGGGUUGUAAAGCUCUGUCCUCAAGGAAGAAAAUGACGGUACUUGAGGAGGAAGCCCCGGCUAACUACGUGCCAGCAGCCGCGGUAAUACGUAGGGGGCUAGGGUUAUCCGGAAUUACGGGGCGUAAGGGGGGCGUAGGUGGUUUCUUAAGUCAGAGGUGAAAGGCUACGGCUCAACCGUAGUAAGCCUUUGAAACUGGGGAACUUGAGUGCAGGAGAGGAAAGUGGAAUUCCUGGUGUAGCGGUGAAAUGCGUAGAUAUUAGGAGGAACACCAGUUGCGAAGGCAGCUCUCUGGACUGUAACUGACACUGAGGCACGAAAGCGUGGGGAGCAAACAGGAUUAGAUACCCCAGUAGUC